AGUGGUAUAACUGGAUCAUAUGGUAAUUUUAUAUAUUUGAGGAAUUGCCAUACUGAUUUCCAUAGUGAUUGCACAAAUUUCCAUUUCCACCAACUGU
rnacentral:pre_miRNA from 1 species